rnacentral:ncRNA from 2 species
CGAACACUCUGGAGAGAGGUGCAUCAUGCAUCCGCCGAAGGGAUAGCGAUCUCAGGCAAAUGGACAGAGGGGGCAUC